UUCCAUUUUCUACAAUUUGUAUAGUCAUUCAUCUGUCCACAAUGCAUUUCAGCUUUUCUCCAUUUUGUCACUAUCCUUAUCUACAUUUUUUUACUCUUCCAAUUUCCAAAUAUCUCAGGAAAGCCUUAACGUACAUGGUGGGGCUGUAUCAUUGGGACACCCAUUAGGAUGCAGUGGAGCUCGUAUCUUGGUCACAUUGUUAGGGGUAUUGAGACAUAAAAAUGGAAAGUACAGGGUUGGUGCCAUAUGCAACAGUGGCGGGGGAGCUUCUUCACUUGUUCUUGAGCUCAUGCCAAAUUAAUAUUGAAACAAGGAGAAAUUGAAAAACUGAUUGAUCCAAAGCUGGGAGGGGCCUAUGAUAUUACACAGCUGAAAAGACUUGCC